rnacentral:rRNA from 1 species
GAUGAACGCUGGCGGCGUGCCUAAUACAUGCAAGUCGAGCGAACCACUUCGGUGGUGAGCGGCGAACGGGUGAGUAACACGUAGGUCAUCUGCCCAUCAGACGGGGACAACGAUUGGAAACGAUCGCUAAUACCGGAUAGGACGAAAGUUUAAAGGUGCUCCUGGCACCGCUGAUGGAUGAGCCUGCGGCGCAUUAGCUAGUUGGUAGGGUAACGGCCUACCAAGGCGACGAUGCGUAGCCGACCUGAGAGGGUGAACGGCCACACUGGGACUGAGACACGGCCCAGACUCCUACGGGAGGCAGCAGUAGGGAAUCUUCGGCAAUGGGCGAAAGCCUGACCGAGCAACGCCGCGUGAAUGAUGAAGGCCUUCGGGUUGUAAAAUUCUGUUAUAAGGGAAGAACGACUUUAGUAGGAAAUGGCUAGAGUGUGACGGUACCUUAUGAGAAAGCCACGGCUAACUACGUGCCAGCAGCCGCGGUAAGAC